rnacentral:rRNA from 1 species
GGUUCAGGACGAACGCUGGCGGCGUGCCUAGUACAUGCAAGUCGAGCGGAAAUUUUAUUGGUGCUUGCACCUUAAAUUUAGCGGCGGACGGGUGAGUAACACGUGGGUAACCUACCUUAUAGAUUGGGAUAACUCCGGGAAACCGGGGCUAAUACCGAAUAAUACUUUUUAACACAUGUUUGAAAGUUGAAAGACGGUUUCGGCUGUCACUAUAAGAUGGACCCGCGGCGCAUUAGCUAGUUGGUGAGGUAACGGCUCACCAAGGCAACGAUGCGUAGCCGACCUGAGAGGGUGAUCGGCCACACUGGGACUGAGACACGGCCCAGACUCCUACGGGAGGCAGCAGUAGGGAAUCUUCCACAAUGGACGAAAGUCUGAUGGAGCAACGCCGCGUGAGUGAAGAAGGAUUUCGGUUCGUAAAACUCUGUUGCAAGGGAAGAACAAGUAGCGUAGUAACUGGCGCUACCUUGACGGUACCUUGUUAGAAAGCCACGGCUAACUACGUGCCAGCCGCUGC